UUUUUAGUUUAAGUAUACCUCAUGCAAUAUUUGGGACAUACUUAUACUAAAA
rfam:Canis lupus familiaris chromosome 2, whole genome shotgun sequence.